rnacentral:rRNA from 1 species
CACGUAGGGGGCGAGCGUUGUCCGGAAUUACUGGGCGUAAAGGGCGCGCAGGCUGUUAUGCGAGUCUGCUGUGAAAUGUACCGGCUCAACCGGUGCCUUGCGGCGGAUACUGCAUAGCUGGAGUACUGGAGAGGGAAGUGGAAUUCCCGGUGUAGCGGUGAAAUGCGUAGAUAUCGGGAGGGACACCGGUGGCGAAGGCGGCUUUCUGGCCAGUUACUGACGCUCAUGCGCGAAAGCUGGGGUAGCGAACCGGAUUAGAUACCCG